AAAAAGCUGUGUGUAUUGAUUAGGCGCCCGUACCGCAAACCGACACAGGUAGAUGAGGAGAGAAUCCUAAGGCCAACGGGAGAAGGGUUGUUAAGGAACUCGGCAAAUUGACCCCGUAACUUCGGGAUAAGGGGAGCCUCCUACGGGAGGCCGCAGUGAAUAGGCCCAAGCAACUGUUUACCAAAAACACAGGUCUCUGCUAAAUCGAAAGAUGACGUAUAGGGGCUGACGCCUGCCCGGUGCCGGAAGGUUAAGAGGAGAGCUUAGCGCAAGCGAAGGUUCGAAUUGAAGCCCGGUAAACGGCGGCCGUAACGAUAACGGUCCUAAGGUAGCGAAAUUCCUUGUCAGGUAAGUUCUGACCCGCACGAAUGGCGUAAUGAUUUGGGCACUGUCUCAACAGCCCGCCCGGCGAAAUUGUAGUACUGGUGAAGAUGCCAGUUACCCGCAACUAGACGGAAAGACCCCAUGGAGCUUUACUGUAGCCUAAUACUGAAGAUCGGUAAUGCAUGUACAGGAUAGGUGGGAGCCAGCGAAACCCGGGCGUCAGCUCGGAUGGAGGCAACCUUGGAAUACCACCCUUGUAUUGCUGGUUUUCUAACCUGCGGCCAUGAAUCUGGUCGGGGGACACUGUUAGGUGGGCAGUUUGACUGGGGCGGUCGCCUCCAAAAGCGUAACGGAGGCGCUCAAAGGUUGGCUCAGCACGGACGGAAAUCGUGCAUAGAGUGCAAACGCAUAAGCCAACUUGACUGCGAGACCGACGGGUCGAGCAGGUACGAAAGUAGGAGUUAGUGAUCCGGUGGUAUGUGAGUGGAAAUGCCAUCGCUCAACGGAUAAAAGCUACCCUGGGGAUAACAGGCCGAUCUCCCCCAAGCGUCCACAGCGACGGGGAGGUUUGGCACCUCGAUGUCGGCUCGUCACAUCCUGGGGCUGUAUUCGGUCCCAAGGGUUCGGCUGUUCGCCGAUUAAAGUGGCACGCGAGCUGGGUUCAGAACGUCGUGAGACAGUUCGGUCCCUAUCUGUUGCGGGCGCAGGAGAUUUGAAGGGAGCUGUCCUUAGUACGAGAGGACCGGGAUGGACAGACCUCUGGUGCACCAGUUGUCGUGCCAACGGCACAGCUGGGUAGCUACGUCUGGACGAGAUAAACGCUGAAAGCAUCUAAGUGUGAAACUCCCCCUAAGAUAAGAUCUCCCAUCCAUUAGGAGUAAGGGACGACAGAGACUAUGUCGUUGAUAGGUCGAAGUGUAAGUGCAGUAAUGCAUUGAGCUGACCGAUACUAAUAACCCGAGGGCUUGACC
rnacentral:rRNA from 1 species